CUUAGAAAGAUCCUGUCUCAAAAUAAAAAAUAAAAAAGGACUGGGAUGUAGCUCAAAAGUAAAGCGCCCCUAGGGUUCACUCCUUAGUAAAUAAUAAUAAUUAAUAAAUCAAUAAAAAUCAUGGAACAAAAGGGAAGAAGCAGGUUAGUGGCAAAAGAUGAAUUCCAAAAUGAAAAGAGGGAUUCUGUCAGGAAGCUUAGGUGACCAGAGGAGCAAUUUGGUACUAGGCACCAUAUGAAGCACUCUUUAACAGCAGCAAUGUACCACUGUGACAAUAACAACAGCAGCAAUUGUGAACUGUUAGGACUGGAGGUGUAGCUUGAUGGUAAAAGCAAUUGCCUAACGUGCACAAGGCCCUGAGUUCAAUCUCUAGCAACACACAACCCACACAAAAUAGCACACACUGAGAAAAUGCUUAGUGCCUUGUUAUAGGUACAAUGCUGAAUUCUUUAUACUACCUCCCAUUUAAUCCUCACAAUAAACCUGUAAGAAUAGACAUUACUAUCCCAUUUUUUAUUGAAGGAAACUGAAGCUAACUAGAUGUUGGAUCUUCACCUCCUAAAGUGCAUAAUUUUUUGCUACGCAAAUCUUUUGUUAUUUAAACAUUCCUGCCACUCCCAGCCACCUCCAGCCUCGCCUACACCCUAUUGUUCCCCUGGCUUCUCUUCUGGAGCUCCAACCUAGCCCUCCGCAGCCUUUUCACUGCUGCCAGGACCUGAACCCCCUUAACU
rnacentral:lncRNA from 1 species